GACGAACGCUGGCGGCGUGCCUAAUACAUGCAAGUUGAGCGCUGAAGGCUGGUACUUGUACCAACUGGAUGAGCAGCGAACGGGUGAGUAACGCGUGGGGAAUCUGCCUUUGAGCGGGGGACAACAUUUGGACACGGAUGCUAAUACCGCAUAAGAACUUUAAACACAAGGUUUAAGUGUGAAAGAUGCAGUUUCAUCACUCAAAGAUGAUCCCGCGUUGUAUUAGUUAGUUGGUGAGGUAAAAGCUCACGAAGGCGAGGCUACAGAGUCGAACGGAGAGGGCGAGCAGCCGCAUUGAGAGUGAGACACGCCCCAUACGCCCUCGGAUGGCAGCAAGAGUGAAACGUCGGCAAGGGACGAGAGUCAGACCGAGCAACGCCGCGUGAGUGAAGAGGGUUUUCGGAUCGGAAAUCACUGUUGGUAGAGAAGAACGUGGGUGAGAGUGGAAAGCUCAGCAAGUGACGGUAACUACUCAGAAAGGGACGGCUAACUACGUG
rnacentral:rRNA from 1 species